GAUGAACGCUAGCGGCAGGCUUAACACACGCAAGUCGAGGGGUAUAGUUCUUCGGAAUUAGAGACCGGCGCACGGGUGCGUAACGCGUAUGCAAUCUACCUUUCACAGAGGGAUAGCCCCAGAGAAAUUUGGAUUAAUACCUCAUAGUAUAGCAGUUUCGCAUGAAACCACUAUUAAAGUCACAACGGUGAAAGAUGAGCAUGCGUCCCAUUAGCUAGUUGGUAAGGUAACGGCUUACCAAGGCAACGAUGGGUAGGGGUCCUGAGAGGGAGAUCCCCCACACUGGUACUGAGACACGGACCAGACUCCUACGGGAGGCAGCAGUGAGGAAUAUUGGACAAUGGGCGCAAGCCUGAUCCAGCCAUGCCGCGUGCAGGAUGACGGUCCUAUGGAUUGUAAACUGCUUUAUACAGGAAGAAACACUACUUCGUGAAGUAGCUUGACGGUACUGUAAGAAUAAGGAUCGG
rnacentral:rRNA from 1 species